rnacentral:rRNA from 1 species
AUUGAACGCUGGCGGAAUGCUUUACACAUGCAAGUCGAGCGGCAGCGCGGUCUUCGGACUGGCGGCGAGCGGCGAACGGGUGAGUAAUACAUCGGAACAUGCCCAGUCGUGGGGGAUAACACUUCGAAAGAAGUGCUAAUACCGCAUACGUCCUGAGGGAGAAAGCGGGGGAUCGCAAGACCUCGCGCGAUUGGAGUGGCCGAUGUCAGAUUAGCUAGUUGGUGGGGUAAAGGCCUACCAAGGCAACGAUCUGUAGCUGGUCUGAGAGGAUGAUCAGCCACACUGGGACUGAGACACGGCCCAGACUCCUACGGGAGGCAGCAGUGGGGAAUUUUGGACAAUGGGGGCAACCCUGAUCCAGCCAUUCCGCGUGAGUGAAGAAGGCCUUCGGGUUGUAAAGCUCUUUCGGCAGGAACGAAACGGUGAGCUCUAACAUAGCUCGCUAAUGACGGUACCUGAAGAAGAAGCACCGGCUAACUACGUGCCAGCCGCCGCAGUAAAAC